UUUUAUAGUGUAAUAUAACACAUUACAUUUUCGUUGUAAUACUGAAGAUUCUUAGCUCUUCUAAAAAU
rnacentral:tRNA from 1 species